rnacentral:rRNA from 1 species
AGAGUUUGAUUCUGGCUCAGGACGAACGCUGGCGGCGUGCCUAACACAUGCAAGUCGAGCGAGGUGUAUACACAUAGCGGCGGACGGGUGAGUAACACGUGGGUAACCCGCCUCAGAGAGGGGAAUAGCCUUCCGAAAGGAAGAUUAAUACCGCAUAAUAUACGCAUUUAGCAUUAUGAGCGUAUCAAAGGAGAAAUCCGCUUUGAGAUGGGCCCGCGGCGCAUUAGCUAGUUGGAGAGGUAACGGCUCACCAAGGCGACGAUGCGUAGCCGACCUGAGAGGGUGAUCGGCCACAUUGGAACUGAGACACGGUCCAGACUCCUACGGGAGGCAGCAGUGGGGAAUAUUGCACAAUGGGGGAAACCCUGAUGCAGCAACGCCGCGUGAAUGAUGAAGGCCUUCGGGUCGUAAAGUUCUUUGAUUGGGGACGAUAAUGACGGUACCCAAAAAACAAACCACGGCUAACUACGUGCCAGCAGCCGCGGUAAUACGUAGGUGGCGAGCGUUGUCCGGAUUUACUGGGCGUAAAGGAUGCGUAGGUGGAAAUUUAAGUGGGAUGUGAAAUCCCCGGGCUCAACCCGGGAACUGCAUUCCAAACUGGGUUUCUUGAGUGCAGGAGAGGAGAGCGGAAUUCCUAGUGUAGCGGUGAAAUGCGUAGAUAUUAGGAAGAACACCAGUGGCGAAGGCGGCUUUCUGGACUGUAACUGACACUGAGGCAUGAAAGCGUGGGGAGCAAACAGGAUUAGAUACCCUGGUAGUC